rnacentral:lncRNA from 1 species
AGGUUUUUUACAUUUGGGUUGGGAAAGGCUGUGACAAUAACUUCAUAGAGGAUGUGCUUGGAUAUACUAAUUUUGCAUCAAUACCACAGAAAAUGACACAUCUUCCAGAGCUAGAUACACUUUCAUCAGAAAGAGCCAGAUCCUUCAUAACUUGGCUUAGAGACAGCAGACCAUUAAGUCCAAUCCUUCACAUAGUAAAAGAUGAGAGUCCUGCCAAAGCAGAAUUUUUUCAGCAUUUGAUUGAAGACCGGACAGAGGCUGCAUUUUCUUACUAUGAAUUUUUGCUUCAUGUUCAGCAGCAGAUUUGUAAGUGAAGUAGAAUAAAAUUGAAUAAGAAAAAGAUCUAUAACCUAGGUAAAGCAUAAUCUGUCAGAGAAGCGCGUGAGAAAUUUGAAAUGAAGGCAUUUGUUAAUACAAGAUGCAACACACAGCACUCUGAGGCUUUGGUAAAAAGUAAAGGGGAAGAAAGAACUUGACAGAUCUUUUUCAACUCAAAUUAAUGGUAACGAUGAUGCUGUUUCACCAAGUAUAUUUUGAAUUGGUUUCUACACAUUUCCAGUAGUAUGGCAGUACAGUGCUCUGUUCAUUGCAAGCUGGCAAAUUUAUGUAGCUAUGUGGAAUGAUAUGUCAUAAUGUAAAAUUAGAUAAAUUCUUUUUUCUUAUAAUUAAUAUAACAUUUCUGGACUUGAACUCUGGCAAGAGAUGCCAAAAGGCAUUGGUACCGUG